rnacentral:lncRNA from 1 species
GAGCGACCUCGUCCAGUGCUUCCCCCACCUCAAGCAGUGAUAUCUGCCCAAUCAGAUGGAGAGAGAGAUAAAAGAGAGAGAGAAGCUGUCAUAAUCCACCUAGUAUUAUCAUGUUCCGCAAUGACUGAUUGUUGACCUAAGCUUGGGUCUGAACUCUGGUGUGCUGCUGUCCCAGCUGCUUUGGUUGUGUGCCCAUCUACUAUGUAAUCGUCCUCUAUCAGCCUGUUGUGCUACAAUAUCUUAGUCCUGUGUGGAUUUGCUCCUCGUGCUUAGUCAGUAUGCUGUCACAAAAUUUAUCUUUUUGAUAAUGUUUCUCGCUUCCAAUGGCACCGAUGCUAGCUUGGUCAGAGCACGGUUUACAGCCAAGCAGCAUCAAACAUGAGCAGUCUU